rnacentral:rRNA from 1 species
UACGUAGGCAGCGAGCGUUGUUCGGAGUUACUGGGCGUAAAGCGUGCGUAGGCGGUGUCUUAAGUUUGUUGUGAAAUCUCCCGGCUUAACCGGGAGGGUGCGGCGAAUACUGAGAUGCUGGAGUCCGGAAGAGGUGAGUGGAACUCCUAGUGUAGAGGUGGAAUUCGUAGAUAUUAGGAAGAACACCAGUGGCGAAGGCGGCUCACUGGCCCGGUACUGACACUGAGAUGCGAAAGCGUGGGGAGCAAACAGG